rnacentral:snoRNA from 1 species
AGCUUCAUUCUAGAUGAGAAUGGGCACUGCUGAUCACGGUGUCCAAGAACUGUGAAUAUGGCUACAUUGAUAUGCAGUUGCUUCUAUCACAGUGUAUGCAAUGCAAUGGUGAUAGUGAGACCUGGAACAUUU